rnacentral:rRNA from 1 species
GAUGAACGCUGGCGGCGUGCCUAAUACAUGCAAGUCGAGCGAACAGAUAAGGAGCUUGCUCCUUUGACGUUAGCGGCGGACGGGUGAGUAACACGUGGGUAACCUACCUAUAAGACUGGGAUAACUUCGGGAAACCGGAGCUAAUACCGGAUAACAUUUGGAACCGCAUGGUUCUAAAGUGAAAGAUGGUUUUGCUAUCACUUAUAGAUGGACCCGCGCCGUAUUAGCUAGUUGGUAAGGUAACGGCUUACCAAGGCAACGAUACGUAGCCGACCUGAGAGGGUGAUCGGCCACACUGGAACUGAGACACGGUCCAGACUCCUACGGGAGGCAGCAGUAGGGAAUCUUCCGCAAUGGGCGAAAGCCUGACGAAGCAACGCCGCGUGAGUGAUGAAGGGUUUCGGCUCGUAAAACUCUGUUAUUAGGGAAGAACAAAUGUGUAAGUAACUGUGCACGUCUUGACGGUACCUAAUCAGAAAGCCACGGCUAACUACGUG